rnacentral:rRNA from 1 species
UGGGGAAUAUUGCGCAAUGGGGGAAACCCUGACGCAGCAACGCCGCGUGGGUGAAGAAGGCCUUCGGGUUGUAAAGCCCUGUCAGGAGGGAAGAAUUGUCGUAGGGAGAAUAUCCCUAUGGCUUGACGGUACCUUCAGAGGAAGCGCCGGCUAACUCCGUGCCAGCAGCCGCGGUAAUACGGAGGGCGCGAGCGUUGUUCGGAAUUAUUGGGCGUAAAGCGCGUGUAGGCGGCACAGCAAGUCGGGUGUGAAAGCCCUUGGCUCAACCAAGGAAUUGCAUUCGAAACUGCUGAGCUUGAGUACGGGAGAGGGAAGCGGAACUCCUAGUGUAGAGGUGAAAUUCGUAGAUAUUAGGAGGAACAUCCGUGGCGAAGGCGGCUUCCUGGACCGAUACUGACGCUGAGACGCGAAAGCGUGGGGAGCAAACAG